UACGUAGGGUGCAGGCGUUAAUCGGAAUUACUGGGCGUAAAGCGUGCGCAGGCGGUUUCUUAAGUCAGAUGUGAAAGCCCCGGGCUUAACCUGGGAACUGCGUUUGAAACUGGGAGACUUGAGUGUGGCAGAGGGGGGUGGAAUUCCACGUGUAGCAGUGAAAUGCGUAGAUAUGUGGAGGAACACCGAUGGCGAAGGCGGCUAUCUGGACAGAGUCUGACGCUGAGGCGCGAAAGCUAGGGGAGCAAACAGG
rnacentral:rRNA from 1 species